rnacentral:rRNA from 1 species
GUCUAUGGCCCUACCACCCUGAACGCGCCCGAUCUCGUCUGAUCUCGGAAGCUAAGCAGGGUCGGGCCUGGUUAGUACUUGGGUGGGAAAUCGCUUUAGUAAGUCUUUAUUCACC